UACAGAGGGUGCGAGCGUUGUCCGGAAUCACUGGGCGUAAAGCGCGCGCAGGCGGCUAUCCAAGUCAGUGGUGAAAGCCCGGAGCUCAACUCCGGAACUGCCAUUGAAACUGUUAGCUUGAGGAUGAGAGAGGUGAGUGGAAUUCCCAGUGUAGAGGUGAAAUUCGUAGAUAUUGGGAAGAACACCGGUGGCGAAGGCGGCUCACUGGCUCAUUACUGACGCUCAGGCGCGAUAGCGUGGGGAUCAAACAGG
rnacentral:rRNA from 1 species